UUUCUACUCUUUCCUGCCUAUCCUCCUUUUCCCUCCUUCCCUGUCGUCCCCCACCAGGGCUUGGAGAAUGGAUCACAGGACCCUGGGAUGGGGGCACCAGUAUCCAUUCCACGAUGGGAGGCUCGGCCUCCCAGAUAUUUUGCGGUAUCUUUAGGGUCAGGGGAUCCAGUGUCCAGCACCAAUGCGAGGAUGUACCCACCCCCCCCGCGCCCCGUACCUAGCUAGCUGCCCAGGUCGGUGUGCUGAUGCAGUCACAGCGCCUUAGGGACGUUGGGGGCCGGGGGACGAACAGGGGUCUGGCAGGUGCGCCUGGAUCCAGGCCCUGCCUGGGGCAGCAACAGCACCCGGCGCCCAGAGAUCUGGGAGGGCCCGCGGGGGCGCGCUGGAGGGGAUAGGAGUGCGCACAGCCUCUAGGAGUUCCCGGCCCCGGCGGCGGCUGCACCACUUCAGCGGGAGGCGCGAUCUGAGGACCGCUACGCGCCUAAGGGGACCCCAAAGGUGGCAGGGGCUGGGCACGCCACCCUUUUGACAUGCCUGUCUUGCUCUUCUCACCCUACAUGGUCGGGAGCCACCAGCCAGGACAGUCUCUGGGAGAUCAGCAGAUCAGUCCUAGGUGCCAAGAGAGCCUGCUACCCACCCUUGAAGACUGUAAGCAAACUUCAUCCCACCCAACAAUCAAGUUCAAGAACAAGAGACUUUUGAGGGGAACCUGUUCUUGGAAACCAGGAGGGACCCUGGACAGCUGGAAUGGGAACUGGACUGACCAGCUCGUCUCCUCCUUCCUCUCUAACCACU